rnacentral:rRNA from 1 species
CCUACGGGAGGCAGCAGUGGGGAAUUUUGGACAAUGGGCGCAAGCCUGAUCCAGCCAUGCCGCGUGCAGGAUGAAGGCCUUCGGGUUGUAAACUGCUUUUGUACGGAACGAAAAGACUCUGGUUAAUACCUGGGGUCCAUGACGGUACCGUAAGAAUAAGCACCGGCUAACUACGUGCCAGCAGCCGCGGUAAUACGUAGGGUGCGAGCGUUAAUCGGAAUUACUGGGCGUAAAGCGUGCGCAGGCGGUUAUAUAAGACAGAUGUGAAAUCCCCGGGCUCAACCUGGGAACUGCAUUUGUGACUGUAUAGCUAGAGUACGGCAGAGGGGGAUGGAAUUCCGCGUGUAGCAGUGAAAUGCGUAGAUAUGCGGAGGAACACCGAUGGCGAAGGCAAUCCCCUGGGCCUGUACUGACGCUCAUGCACGAAAGCGUGGGGAGCAAACAGGAUUAGAUACCCUGGUAGUCCACGCCCUAAACGAUGUCAACUGGUUGUUGGGUCUUCACUGACUCAGUAACGAAGCUAACGCGUGAAGUUGACCGCCUGGGGAGUCGGCCGCAAGGUUGAAACUCAAAGGAAUUGACGGCNGAGAGAGCGACGGACGACGACGAGGGAGGAGG